UACACAUACUAUACAGAGAUGCUAUAUGAGAAACCAAUCACCUGAAAGCCUCAAGAGUCACGUGAACAUCACGUGAGAGACAGAAAUGCAGCUGAGCGACGCUUCUUAAAGAACAGAGGAACACAACAAAAACAACAAUAAUGACGGCCUCUCUGACUGCAGGUCUGGACA